GGCGCGGCCACCCCCGCCACGGGUUUUGGGGCGGGCCGGGCGCUGUGGCACGUGCGGGCGCGGCCGCAGAAACAUCUGCACAGACACACCCAGAAAUGUUUUACCAGCUAUCCAGACGUUCCUCAGCCCUGUCAAGUUGACACCUACAAUUAACAUCACAGCUUGCUUCUGUGUCUGGCUUCUCUCACUGAGCAUCGUGUUCUCAAGGGGAAGACGAGCAGCCCCCAGGCCCCAACACGCCACUUCUAUAUCCAUCGAGAGGUGCCCGGACGGAAGGCCGGCUGUGCUCCUUUUUGAGCCCCAGGUAAUUCAUACAAACAGCCCUCCCGGCCACGGGGCGCCCACCCACUGGCUCUGUGCCAGCGACCAGCCCAGAACAGAGAAGGCACACAGAAGUAGGUGCAGGGAGCUGAGCCGGCGCAGCAGAAGGGCAGACAGCACAGCCUGGUCCACAGCCGACUGGCCCAGGACGGGUGAGGACGGGCGGGCAGGCUGAGGGGAGGACAGGGUGUGACACAGCCUGCCCGCCUGGGCUCCGGGGAGAAGGUCAGGGCGCUGCCCGCGCCCUCGCUCCGCUGCCUGGCGUCCUUUGUGGGGACGAAGGGCCGGA